rnacentral:rRNA from 1 species
GAAACUGCCUGAUGGAGGGGGAUAACUACUGGAAACGGUAGCUAAUACCGCAUAACGUCGCAAGCACAAAGAGGGGGACCUUAGGGCCUCUUGCCAUCGGAUGUGCCCAGAUGGGAUUAGCUAGUAGGUGGGGUAACGGCUCACCUAGGCGACGAUCCCUAGCUGGUCUGAGAGGAUGACCAGCAACACUGGAACUGAGACACGGUCCAGACUCCUACGGGAGGCAGCAGUGGGGAAUAUUGCACAAUGGGCGCAAGCCUGAUGCAGCCAUGCCGCGUGUAUGAAGAAGGCCUUCGGGUUGUAAAGUACUUUCAGCGGGGAGGAAGGGAGUAAAGUUAAUACCUUUGCUCAUU